rnacentral:rRNA from 1 species
UACGAAGGGGGCUAGCGUUGCUCGGAAUCACUGGGCGUAAAGCGCACGUAGGCGGCUCUUUAAGUCAGGGGUGAAAUCCUGGAGCUCAACUCCAGAACUGCCUUUGAUACUGAAGAUCUUGAGUUCGGGAGAGGUGAGUGGAACUGCGAGUGUAGAGGUGAAAUUCGUAGAUAUUCGCAAGAACACCAGUGGCGAAGGCGGCUCACUGGCCCAGAACUGACGCUGAGGCACGAAAGCGUGGGGAGCAAACAGG